UCAUUCUGCUUUUAAAUUAAUGCAUUUAAAAAGCAUUGGUCUGAAAUUUUUCUCGUACGCUCUUAACUCUAUCCAAUGAUUGGAAAAAAUUAUAACUAAUAUUUAUGACCCCUUUUAAUUUGUAGUGGGUGAAUCCAGCUGCUUUAACUUAUACUCCAACAGAUAAUACACUCAAGUUGGCUGUCCAUUUUGAAAGAUUUAAAUCCAUAUUGCCCCCUCUGGAAUUGGGAAAAGUUAAUAAAAGUGCUCUUCGAUAUAAAAUAACACCACGAGUAGAAGAACUAGCUAUACCCAAAAAACGCAGUGUGAAGGAAGUGGAAGACUCGGAAUGGGAUCCGUGGGCUAUACCAAAAAACGUUUUAAGAUAUAAGCCUACUCCCAGAAUUCUAGAGUUAGCCAAACCAAAAGAACGAGACUGAAAGAAAAAACAAAGUAUCCAAAGUAUCCUAAGAAAAAAA
rnacentral:lncRNA from 1 species